GUAGUCCACGCCCUAAACGAUGUCAACUAGCUGUCGGGACCUUCGGGUUUUGGUAGCGCAGCUAACGCGUGAAGUUGACCGCCUGGGGAGUACGGUCGCAAGAUUAAAACUCAAAGGAAUUGACGGGGACCCGCACAAGCGGUGGAUGAUGUGGAUUAAUUCGAUGCAACGCGAAAAACCUUACCUACCCUUGACAUGUCUAGAAUCCCGGAGAGAUCUGGGAGUGCUCGAAAGAGAACUGGAACACAGGUGCUGCAUGGCCGUCGUCAGCUCGUGUCGUGAGAUGUUGGGUUAAGUCCCGCAACGAGCGCAACCCUUGUCAUUAGUUGCUACGAAAGGGCACUCUAAUGAGACUGCCGGUGACAAACCGGA
rnacentral:rRNA from 1 species